GAAGCUGUUUCUGAAUAUAUCAGAUUAUGUUAGGGACACUUUACACCUGUCACCGGUGUCAUUCAAACGAAGCAGAAAAGCUUUGAACGACACCGCCUUCUGAAUAUGUUUGUAGCUAAUUAAUCUAAUUAUAUCAUGUAUUGUAAUUAUCUCGUAUUAAUUAACCAGUAACUAAUUAUUAUCUUUUACUCUGAUCCUUCUUAAUUUUUCUGUUCCUCUUCAAGUCAGAAAGACUCUUUCCUUCGAUUGUCACCUUAGAACAAAAUAGUUCACUUUACAUCGAUCUUACACUACUAUACCUUCUCUUAUUUACAGAUGCCCUGACUGAUCCCGCCUUUGUAACUUGUAGAACGAUGCCUAUCUCAUAAGAACGUUUGUUACCACGCGUAUAUUUAUGGACUACAGAACAUCAUUAAAUUGUAAAUUAGUCAUGAAGGAACAUUCUAGCAGUGAGUAGAAAAAUGUAUCUACCUUGGAAAUAUUCCCCACUUGUAAGCAGAGAUCUGCAAUAUCGAAAAGGACGAAGUGAGCGACGGUAGAUUAUAUCUAAAGACAUUUUUCAGCUUUUGAGAAUUCCUUGAGAAUUAAUAUGGAGAACGUUGCACGGACGGGCAGAAAUGAGGGAGCUGUACAUAACGAAACAUUUUCUAAAGAAAGAUCGUUGCAGGGAAAUAUUACUGAAUAUAGAUGUGAUGUUUGUAAGAAAACAUUCUCUUCAGAACCUGAAGUUUUGAAGCAUAAAGAAAUACAUCAGAAGAAGCGGCCCUUUCGCUGUGAAAUAUGUGGUAAAUGUUUCAUUAAGAACUCUCAUCUUGUAACCCACAAACGCAGUCACACUGGAGAAAAACCAUAUCGAUGUGACAUCUGUGGGAAAUCUUUCAUUUCUCAAAGUAGUUUAAAUAUGCAUAAUCGGACUCACACUGGGGAGAAACCUUUCCACUGUGAAUUAUGUGGGAAACGUUUUAUUGAUGUUGGUCAUUUAAUAAGACACAAACGAACCCACUCUGGAGAAAAGCCAUAUCAUUGUGAGAUCUGUGGGAAAUGUUUUAUUGAAAAUUCUAAGCUUGUGGGACACAUACGUAGUCACACUGGAGAGAGGCCAUUCCACUGUGAAAUUUGUGGGAAAUCCUUCUCUGAUAAUUCUAAUCUUGUUGUCCACAAGCGUAGACACACUGGGGAAAAACUGUAUUCUUGUAAUAUAUGUGGGAAAUCAUUCUCUGUUAGUGGGAGCCUCGUUAUCCACAAGCGUAUCCACACGGGUGAGAAGCCUUUCCACUGUGAAAUUUGCGAGACAUCUUUUGGUGAUAAAAGUUCUUUAAAGAGACACGUACGUAUCCACUCUGGGGAAAAACCUUUCCAUUGUGAAAUAUGUGGGAAAUCUUUCCUUGAUAAUGGUAAUUUAAGAAAACACAUACGUAGACACAUAGGAGCAGAACCUUUCCACUGUGAGAUAUGUGGGAAAUCUCUCGUUAGUAAUGCUAGUUUAAUUAUACAUAAACGAACACACACUGGGGAAAGACCUUUCCACUGUGAUAUAUGUGGUAAGUCUUUUCCCAGCAACAAUAAUUUAAACAGGCACAACAGAAGCCACUCUGGAGAAGAAACCAUAAAAUUGUGAAAUAUGUUGGAAGUCCUUCUCUGUAUAUUUGAGAUGUAUUGUCCACAAGCAUAUCCACUCUGAAGAAAGACUGUUUCGGUGUGAAAUGUUUGGGGAAUGCUUUGGUAAUAGGGAUUUAAUAAAACACAUACACAGGCUGAAAAUGAAAUAUGUAGGGAAUGUUUCACUCGUGGUACACGUCUUGUACUCCCCAUACAGAAUCACAAUGGAGAAAAACCUCAUCAUUUUGAGAUAUGUAGGAAACAUUUCAUCUGUAAAAGUUACUGAACAACUUGCAAAAGAAGCAAAACCCAAUCUUUAUUUAAUUUGUGGGAAAUCAUUUGUGAUUAAAAGUCAAAAAGAUGUAAACAAAUGCAAACUGGAGAGAAACAUUUUAACUAUGAAACAUGAGAAAUUGUUCUCUUAACAAAUCUAGAUUUGUUUUCAACCAAUGAGUUUACAUUGGUGAAGAUUUAUCAUAUGAGAUGUAUUGGAAAUGAUUCUUUUUGAUUUCUUGUGAAAUAUUACUCUUUUACUCGUUUCAGUCAUGUGACUGUGGCCAUGCUGGAGCACUGCCUUUAGUCGAUCAAAUCGACCCCAGGACUUAUUCUUUGUAAGCCUAGUACUUAGUCUAUCG